rnacentral:rRNA from 1 species
AACGAACGCUGGCGGCAUGCCUAACACAUGCAAGUCGAACGCCCCGCAAGGGGAGUGGCGAACGGGUGAGUAACGCGUGGGAACCUACCCAGCAGUUGGGGAUAACCGCGGGAAACUGCGGCUAAUACCGAAUACGUCCUAAGGGAGAAAGAUUUAUCGCUGUUGGAGGGGCCUGCGUCGGGUUAGCUAGUUGGUGAGGUAACGGCUCACCAAGGCGACGAUCCGUAGCUGGUCUGAGAGGAUGAUCAGCCACACUGGGACUUAGACACGGCCCAGACUCCUACGGGAGGCAGCAGUGGGGAAUAUUGGACAAUGGGGGCAACCCUGAUCCAGCAAUGCCGCGUGAGUGAUGAAGGCCUUAGGGUUGUAAAGCUCUUUUACCGGGGACGAUGAUGACGGUACCCGGAGAAUAAGCCCCGGCUAACUUCGUGCCAGCCGCCGCCGUAAGAC